GUGAAUCAUCAAAUUUUUGAACGCAAAUUGCACUCUCUUCGGAGAGGAUGCGUGUUUGAGGGUCAGUAUUAAUAAAAAUAGGUGUGUUGCUUCUUUGUGACGCUCCGGAGUUUGGGUCAUCUUAAUAUUCGUUGGGUUUUAAGAGGCUUAAAAUUGACUUUUUUUGGGUGUUUCGGGUGAAAAUAAUUUUUUUUUUUAAUUCGUCUGUGUUAAUGUCAAAAUUCCUAGUAGAUGAGACUAU
rnacentral:misc_RNA from 1 species